UUCUCUCUUCUUCCUCCUCUCUCUAAUCGUCGUCGCUUCUCCUUUUUUUCACCUUCAAUCACCUUCAAAUCAAAUCUUCAAGAGAAAAAGAAGAAGUAGAAGAUGUAAAAUUUAUUUUACUUUUUCAUUCUGAUUAACCCUAAACCAUACCUAAAUCGAAAAAAACUGGAGAAAUCAUCACUGCAACUGAGAAUUCUCAGCUCGAUCCAAAGCAAGAACACAAACUUGUUUCUUUUAAAUCGAAACCUCUCAUUUCCUGCCAACGUUAAUAAUAAUAAUAGCUCUGGUCCGGCACGAAACGGAGGCUACACUAGUGGAGAUUUCAUGACACCUAGACAGAAUUUGUAUGUUGUCAAGCUUUCAACGUCGGUCGUUGAUGGUAAUUAUGAUGGCUAGCGCAUCUAAUUAAAUAGAGUAUCUCACGGCAAUUGAAGGCAGAGACGGUGAUUGAAGGUGAGAAAGAGGAGAAGCGACGACGUUUAGAGAGAGGAAGAAGAAGAGAGAAAUAAAUAGAUAAUUGGGAUUAACUCGCGGUUUAAUAUGGUUUACAUAAAACCAAAAAAAAAAAAUAUUAAAAAUAAUAAUUAAUUAGAUAAUCGAAGUAGGAAUUUUGAUUUUGUUAAAAAAUCAUCGGUAUGAAAAUAACAAUGGUAUUUCACCUGCACCAUAGCAAAAAAAAACCUCUAUUCCCAUUUAGACACGAUAAUCGAUACAACUCUUUUCACCAUGCUUUCCGACGCCGGUAGAGCUCUAGCUCGCCGGCGUCGGGAUAUACUUUGUUCACAGUAAUCUUUCUACAGUUUUCUACAAGCUUUUCUCAACUUAUUUUUAAUACUUUGCAAUCCCUCCCUUCUUUCACUUUGCUCCUAUGGGGCUUCAAUAUACGGCGAUAGAUUAAAUAGAGGUUUCCCAGUGAACUUCAUAUCUCUCGUCCGAAACGUUCCUUGGUCAGCGAGGUUGAUGAAGGAGAAAUCUUACUUGUGCACUUGUUCCUCAACUGCUAAAUCUGAGAUUUGUCUCCCAAAUAUCUCUAGAUCUAUGGAUUCUAGAACUUUCGUAAUCCUCGUCGCUCUUUGCCUCUACGGGAUCCCCUUGAAGUCAACUAUACCAACUCCUUGUUCCUCGAUGGAAUGGAGCUCUGCCUUGACGCUGGAACCGGUGAUGACCUUGACGGCGGAAGGAUCAAACCUAACCCUACCGAGUUGCCUUUCCAUCUUCUCCUCUCCGUACACCCGCGGCGGCUCAAUCAACACAUCCCCAACGGAAGCAAAUCUAGGGUUUUGCUUGUUGGGCUUUUUUUUAUUGCUGCGGCCCAUCUCUCUUAAUUCAGCCCAUUGAAGAAAAUUUCAAUCCACGUACAAAUCACAGCAGGUCCAGGUUUAUUCUUUUUAUCUCUCCUCUAAAGCCUUUUAUAAUAAUGUUUCGUCUUCAAGGCUUGAUCAUCCGAAGACUGUGCUCUUGCCCUGAAGCGACAAACUAUAAAUGGUUUUACGAGUACUCAUCACGAAUCCUGCUAAUGAAUUAUCCUCUGUUUCAAACCGUUGAAAUCUUAAGUUGGAAAACCAUGGAUGAAAUCUUGCCUUUGAUGUUUCUACCACUAGCGCAUCUGCGAAUACAACCCAGAGUUGUCAUCUCUCUGUUUUGGCUUCAACUUACUCGAACCAUGGCUGUCAAUUCUCAACAAACUUCCAGCUCCCCAUCUAGAAUUGCACUCUUAUCUGACCUAGAGGGUCCACGGCGACCAAGCUCUCCUGUCACGGAGGGAACCUCGGCUCGGCCUUCCUCGUUUAUGGAGAGAAACUUCACAAAAUGGUUAGCUGCUCCUUGGUGGUUUGCUAAGUACUCUUUAUCAAAGUAACGAAAUCUGUUGAUAGUGACUAUCUCAAAAAUUCCCGAACUGUUCGUGGAAGUACACCCUGAUCUCGUUUGUGGCAUGUUGUUAAUCAACCUCUGUUUCCGAGUUUCUAUGGAUUUAUCCUCUAGCUUUAUUGCUUAUCUUAUCUAUGCUAACUCUAUUGUAAGCUUGUACUCCAAGAUUAUGUACCAAUGUUGUUCUCACUCUUGGGACGUUUGAAUGA